rnacentral:rRNA from 1 species
UACGUAGGGGGCAAGCGUUGUCCGGAAUCAUUGGGCGUAAAGAGCGCGUAGGCGGCCCUGUAAGUCCGCUGUGAAAGUCAAGGGCUCAACCCUUGAAUGCCGGUGGAUACUGCAGGGCUAGAGUCCGGAAGAGGCGAGUGGAAUUCCUGGUGUAGCGGUGAAAUGCGUUGAUAUCGUAAGGAACACCCGUGGCGAAAGCGGCUCACUGGGUCUUUUCUGACGCUGAUGCACGAAAGCUAGGGGAGCAAACGGG